GGACCCGAUACACCCACGCCAUCUGGUGGAUGGCUAGGCUUGGGCGCCGAAGAAGGCCGUGACAAGCUGCGAUAAGCCCCGGGUAGAUGCAAGUAGUCUUUGAUCCGGGGAUCGCCGAAUGGGACUUCCUACCAGCGGCUAAUACCCGCUAGGUGUUCCAGCUCAUGGAACGGGAACCCCCCGAACUGAAACAUCUUAGUAGGGGGAGGAAAAGAAACCAAAAGGGAUUCCCUUAGUAGGGGCGACCCAACAGGGAAAAGGGCAAACCGAACCCACCAUGGAAACAUGGCGGGAAUGUGGAUCUGCAGGGUCCUGCCUCCACUUCGCCAGAGAAGCCGAAGGAGCCUGGAAAGCCUCACCGCAGAGGGUGAUAGUCCCGUAGGCGUAAUCUGGAAAGUGCUGGGCGGGUUCUCCUGAAUACCGCGGAUUGGAUAUUCCGUGGGAAGCUGGGAGUCACCAACUUCCAACCCUAAAUACGUCCCAAGACCGAUAGCGCACUAGUACCGUGAGGGAAAGCUGAAAAGCACCGCGGAAGCGAAGUGAAAAGUGCCUGAAACCAGAUGGUUAUAGACGUACAUGGCUCUAAAGGAUAGAUCCUCCCCGAAGGAACCUUCGGCGACGAAGCAGUACUAGGGGAGAGGACCAGAGUCAUGUGAUCCGUCUCGAAACACGGGCCAGGGAGUUCAUAGUUGUGGCGAGCCUAAGGGGGUCAACCCCGCAGGCGUAGGGAAACCAACAUGCUCGCAGCCAGCCCGACUGGCGAGGAGCGGGGUCUUAAACGGGCCCGGAGUCACAAUUAUGAGACCCGAAACCAGAUGAUCUAGCCCUGAGCAGGGUGAAGCCAAGGGAAACCUUGGUGGAGGCCCGAAGAGGUUCUGACGUACAAUUCGUUCUUCUGACUUGGGGCUAGGAGUAAAAGGCCAAUCUAAUCUGGUGAUUGCUGGUUCCCCCCGAAGAAGUUCGCAGACUUGUCUGGCGGGAGGUGGCUGGAGGGGUAGAGCACCGAUUGGAAAGCAGGGAGCCGCGAGGCUUCACUUUCCUCUCGAACUCCGAAUCUUCCAGCGCCGCAGAACGCCGGAAGCGGGCGCCAGGGGGUAAGCUUCUGGGCCGAAAGGGGAAUAACCCGGACUGAGGUUAAGGUCCCCAAGUGCCAGCUAAGUGUUAAUCCGAAGGGCGUCCGCUGCCUAAAACAGUGGGGAGGUAGGCUUAGAAGCAGCCAUCCUUAAAAAAGUGCGUAACAGCUUACCCACCGAGGUAGCGGGCCUCGAAAAUGGACGGGGCUAAGCUGGCCACCGAUACCUCAGGGCACGGUCGAAAAAACCGUGAUCCGGUAGGGGGGCGCGUCAACUGGACGGAAGCAGGGCUGUGAAGUCCUGUGGACCGGUUGAUGUUGCAGAUCCUGGUGGUAGUAACAGCAAAGUCGGGUGAGAAUCCCGACCACCGAAAGGGCCAGGGUUCCUCGGCAACGCGUCGUCAGCCGAGGGUAAGUCGGUCCUAAAGCUAAACGUAACUCGUGAAGCUGAAAGGGAAACCGGUUUAUAUUCCGGUACCAUGGAGGUACGUGUGGCGACACAAGCCCAACUUCUGACGCUUCAGGGUAGGUCGAGCGGAGCCAUCGCUCCGUUUAAGCGUAUAAACCUGGGGAGGGCCGUAAUGGCGAGAACCAGGCGAAAGCGCGAAUAGCCUCCCGAUAUUAGGGGGGUUCGAUCAAGCUCUGGAGCCCGUGAAAAGGGAGUUGGGAAGGAUCCUCCAUGACCGUACCUAGAACCGACACAGGUGCCCCUAGGUGAGCAUCCUAAGGUGUAUCGGAGUCAACCCAGGCAAGGGAAAUCGGCAAAUUGGCCCCGUAACUUCGGGAGAAGGGGUGCCUGGAUUCUUCAGGUAAUACUGGGGAACCCAGGUCGCAGUGACCAGGGGGGCCUGACUGUUUAAUAAAAACAUAGCUUUCCGCUAGCCCGAAAGGGUUUGUACGGAAGGUGAAUCCUGGCCAGUGGCGGUCCGUCAAAACCGAGUCCAAUCGGUCGAAGCGCCGCUAAACGCCGGGAGUAACUAUGACUCUCAAGCAAGCAGCAAUUGAAUCGUUAUGGGAGUCGUUAAAUCUGGCCAUAUGCGGGGAAAUCGCUGAAAGCUGCUCCCGAGAAGGGAACAAUGCAGCUUUCGAGAACGAUGAUCCGCAGGAAAUCUGAGUCCGAUUCCCGAGAAGUGAACCAAUAGAGGGUGAAACGAUGCUGAGGAAAGCAAGGAGACAAUCGGUGAAAAACGUUUACCUCUGUGGUCUGGUGGAUGCUGAGGGAUCAUUCAGUAUUAGCGUAAAACCACAUGGAACCACGAAGUUUGGCUGGGUGAUUGACCCAACAUUCAGUUUAACACUGGAAAAAGAUGCGGAGCACGUGCUAAAAGCAUUACAAGAGGCUCUAAGAUGCGGAAGAAUCAUUGCGAAGCCCGGACAGCCUGACUGCAAACUGUUCAUUGAGGAAAGCAGGAGAAACAUUGCGGAAAAAAUAAUACCCUUCUUCGAAAGGUAUCCCUUGGAGAUUAAGGAGAAAAGUUUCAACCACUUCAAAGAAGUUGUGCGCAGGUUGGAGCAGAAGGAGCACUUAGAUGCAGAGUCAUUUCUCAGACUGGCAGUGUACGCCUUUAGCCAUGAGGAAAAGAAAGGGACAAAAAAGUACACCAUCGAGGACUUGCUAGCGACAAUGAAGCAGAAACCAGAAUUCACAGAGGAAAUAGUUAGAGAAGAAUUGGAAAAAAUUAGUCGGGGCGGACGAAUGAGUUCCCCAGAGACUAUACGCCAGACACCAAACAAAAGGUGAGAAACCUUUGUGCGGUGAAGAUAUAGUCCAGCGAUUAGAAAGGGGAAAAGAACCCGAGUAUAAUCGUUGCUUAAGGUAGCCAAAUGCCUUGCCGGAUAAGUACCGGCGUGCAUGAAUGGAUCAACGAGGUCCCCACUGUCCCUGCCUGGCGUCCGGUGAAGCCACAUAACCUAGCGAACAGUCUAGGGACCUCCAACGGGGAGAGAAGACCCUGUGGAGUUUUACUGCAGCCUGUGCCUGUGGUAUGGUUAUGGGUGCAGAGUGUAAGUGGGAGCCGUUUAUGCCAACCUCUCCGGGGGUUGGAGUAGGCGAAAAUGGAACACCACUCACUCGUGGCUAUGCCUCUAACCAGUGCCUUUGGGCGCUGGGACAAGUAUAGGUGGGCAGUUUGGCUGGGGCGGCACGCCCCUGAAAAGGUAUCAAGGGCGCCCUAAGGUCGGCUCAGGCGGGUCAGAAAUCCGCCGUAGAGGGCAAGGCCAAAAGCCGGCCUGACUGUAUCCUUGACAACACGGGAUGCAGGAGCGAAAGCUGGGCCUAGCGAUCCAUCAUGUCCCCAUUGGUGGGGGCUGGUGGUGACAGAAAAAUUACCCCGGGAUAACAGNNNNNNNNNNNNNNNNNNNNNNNNNNNNNNNNNNNNNNNNNNNNNNNNGAUGUCGGCUCUUCCUAUCCUGGUCGUGCAGCAGCGACCAAGGGUGAGGCUGUUCGCCUAUUAAAAGGGAACGUGAGCUGGGUUUAGACCGUCGUGAGACAGGUCGGAUUCUACCUGUUGGAGGUGUUGGCUGCCUGAGGGUAGGGUACCCUCAGUACGAGAGGAACGGGGUUCCGCGGCCUCUAGUCUACCGGUUAUCCGAUAGGGUAUUGCCGGGCAGCCACGCCGUAACCGGUAAGGGCUGAAAGCAUCUAAGCCCGAAACGGAUCCCGAAAAGAGGCAGCCAUUCUCUAGCUAGGUCUUUGUGACGCUCGGGACAGGUGACUGUAACGAGCUGCUAGGGACGAGGACACCCAUAGAAGAUGGGUUUGAUGGAACCGGGGUGUACGCGCCAAGCUUCGGCGAGGCGUUCAGCCCGCGGUCCCCAACAGUCCGAGUGUGCGGGUCC
rnacentral:rRNA from 1 species